rnacentral:rRNA from 1 species
GACGAACGCUGGCGGCGUGCUUAACACAUGCAAGUCGAACGGAAAGGCCCUGCUUUUGUGGGGUGCUCGAGUGGCGAACGGGUGAGUAACACGCGAGUAAACUGCCCUUGACUUUGGGAUAACUUCAGGAAACUGGGGCUAAUACCGGAUAGGAGCUCCUGCUGCAUGGUGGGGGUUGGAAAGUUUCGGCGGUUGGGGAUGGACUCGCGGCUUAUCAGCUUGUUGGUGGGGUAGUGGCUUACCAAGGCUUUGACGGGUAGCCGGCCUGAGAGGGUGACCGGCCACAUUGGGACUGAGAGACGGCCCAGACUCCUACGGGAGGCAGCAGUGGGGAAUAUUGCACAAUGGGCGGAAGCCUGAUGCAGCAACGCCGCGUGCGGGAUGACGGCCUUCGGGUUGUAAACCGCUUUCGCCUGUGACGAAGCGUGAGUGACGGUAAUGGGUAAAGAAGCACCGGCUAACUACGUG